UACAGAGGGUGCAAACGUUGCUCGGAAUCAUUGGGCGUAAAGCGCACGUAGGCGGCCUAGCAAGUAGGGAGUGAAAGCCCUCGGCUUAAUCGAGGAAGUGCUUUCUAAACUACUAGGCUUGAAUACUGGAGAGGGUCGCGGAAUUCCCGGUGUAGAGGUGAAAUUCGUAGAUAUCGGGAGGAACACCAGUGGCGAAGGCGGCGACCUGGACAGAUAUUGACGCUGAGGUGCGAAAGCGUGGGGAGCAAACAGG
rnacentral:rRNA from 1 species